AAAACGGUCCUUUUCAGGACCACCUACAUAAUCAAGAAAAGCUAA
rfam:Lingula anatina scaffold1022, whole genome shotgun sequence.